rnacentral:piRNA from 1 species
UAAAAGCCUGUUUUCUGUCAUCUCAGAAGC